CCUACGGGGGGCUGCAGUGGGGAAUAUUGGACAAUGGGCGAAAGCCUGAUCCAGCCAUGCCGCGUGUGUGAAGAAGGCCUUCGGGUUGUAAAGCACUUUCAGUGGGGAAGAAAGCCUUGGGGCUAAUACCCUCGAGGAAGGACAUCACCCACAGAAGAAGCACCGGCUAACUCCGUGCCAGCAGCCGCGGUAAUACGGAGGGUGCGAGCGUUGAUCGGAAUUACUGGGCGUAAAGCGCGCGUAGGCGGUCUGAUAAGCCGGUUGUGAAAGCCCCGGGCUCAACCUGGGAACGGCAUCCGGAACUGUCAGGCUAGAGUGCAGGAGAGGAAGGUAGAAUUCCCGGUGUAGCGGUGAAAUGCGUAGAGAUCGGGAGGAAUACCAGUGGCGAAGGCGGCCUUCUGGACUGACACUGACGCUGAGGUGCGAAAGCGUGGGUAGCAAACAGGAUUAGAUACCCCAGUAGUC
rnacentral:rRNA from 1 species